UACGGAGGGAGCUAGCGUUAUUCGGAAUUACUGGGCGUAAAGCGCACUUAGGCGGCUUUGUAAGUUAGAGGUGAAAGCCUGGAGCUCAACUCCAGAAUUGCCUUUAAGACUGCAUCGCUUGAAUCCAGGAGAGGUGAGUGGAAUUCCGAGUGUAGAGGUGAAAUUCGUAGAUAUUCGGAAGAACACCAGUGGCGAAGGGCGGCUCACUGGACUGGUAUUGACGCUGAGGUGGCGAAAGCGUGGGGAGCAAACAGG
rnacentral:rRNA from 1 species